rnacentral:sRNA from 1 species
UUUUUUUUUCCUUCUUCU